GAUGAACGCUGGCGGCGUGCCUAAUACAUGCAAGUCGAGCGAAUGGAUUAAGAGCUUGCUCUUAUGAAGUUAGCGGCGGACGGGUGAGUAACACGUGGGUAACCUGCCCAUAAGACUGGGAUAACUCCGGGAAACCGGGGCUAAUACCGGAUAACAUUUUGAACCGCAUGGUUCGAAAUUGAAAGGCGGCUUCGGCUGUCACUUAUGGAUGGACCCGCGUCGCAUUAGCUAGUUGGUGAGGUAACGGCUCACCAAGGCAACGAUGCGUAGCCGACCUGAGAGGGUGAUCGGCCACACAGGGAGUGAGACACGGCCCAGACGCCUACGGGAGGCAGCAGUAGGGAAUCUUCCGCAAUGGACGAAAGUCUGACGGAGCAACGCCGCGUGAGUGAUGAAGGCUUUCGGGUCGUAAAACUCUGUUGUUAGGGAAGAACAAGUGCUAGUUGAAUAAGCUGGCACCUUGACGGUACCUAACCAGAAAGCCACGGCUAACUACGUGCCAGCCGCCGCCGUAA
rnacentral:rRNA from 1 species